UACGGAGGGGGCUAGCGUUGUUCGGAAUUACUGGGCGUAAAGGGCGCGUAGGCGGCGAAGCAAGUCGGGUGUGAAAGCCCCGGGCUCAACCUGGGAUGUGCGUCCGAUACUGUUUGGCUAGAGUGCGGGAGAGGUAAGCGGAAUUCCCAGUGUAGAGGUGAAAUUCGUAGAUAUUGGGAAGAACACCGGUGGCGAAGGCGGCUUACUGGACCGAUACUGACGCUGAGGAGCGAAAGCGUGGGGAGCGAACAGG
rnacentral:misc_RNA from 1 species